GUAAUGAAAGUAAAGAGAGUGUAGAGGAGGGGAAAGAAAAAGGAUAAAAGUUUUUAUACUUUUAACUUUGAUUUCUCUCUGUCUCUCUCUCUCUCUCAAGGGAAGAUGGAAAUCUUAUUUUAAGUGAUGUUAAAUUUAAAAUGUUGAUUCCCGCAUUCCCAGGGCGCUUGUUUCUCGCUUUGCGAGUCUAUGCGCACCUAGAGCGUACACGAUGAUACCCGAAAGAUGGUGAACUAUGCCUGGCCAGGACGAAGCCAGGGGAAACCCUGGUGGAGGUCCGCAGCGAUUCUGACGUGCAAAUCGAUCGUCAGAGCUGGGUAUAGGGGCGAAAGACCAAUCGAACCAUCUAGUAGCUGGUUCCCUCUGAAGUUUCCCUCAGGAUAGCUUGCGCUCGGUUGAGAAGAGUCUCAUCCGGUAGAGCGAAUGAUUAGAGGCAUUGGGGUCGAAACGACCUCAACCUAUUCUCAAACUCCAAAUAGAUGAGACCCCCGGCUUUCUUAAAAUUGAAGCCGUGGGAUUCUGAUCAGAGUGCCAAGUGGGCCAAUUUUGGUAA
rnacentral:rRNA from 1 species